UUCGACUGGGGGGGUUUUGCUGAUGCCGUCUCCAUCUGUUCCUCUUCGAUUUUUCCGAUUUGAUUUUUCCGGUGAGUUCUCGUUGUUUUGCCUCCAGCCAAGUCUUCCGCAUUUUUCCUCUUCUUUUCUUCUCUUUUCGGCGGUGCAUACGCGUUCUGGAGUAGAGGAACAGAGUUGGAGAUUUUUCUUGGUUCCAGUAACUUCGAGAUCUUUGUCUUCCGCCCUCAUCCCUGUUACUCGUCCAGUCGCCAGCAACCUUGAGAACGCCGGAAUCCUUACUGUGGGUAGUGCACAGUACUUCAUCCAGCUCUCCCCUGUUCCGUAUCAUUUUUCUUUCUUCAGCAUCUGUGCAAAUAUGUGAUGUUUGGAAAGAGGGAAGCUCAAAUAAGAGUCAUACGAAAUGAGUUUGGAGCCUUGAGGAUAUUACAGGUAGUAUAAAUUGGGCUUGUAUAUCAAGGUGUUACUUGAGGCAUUUUAUCACUAAAGUGGAGUGGAAGAAUUAUUUCGAACAAGUUUUGCUUGAUGAAAAUUUGAACCCUGUAUUAAUUUCAUGGCCUGGUCCUAAUUGCUCCACAUAUAAUGUAGAUACACUUGAUGAAAACACCUAUACAAAUGUAGAGUGGGGCCGCUCCUAUGAGAUCGUGGCGAAAUCUCUACAGCAUUUGUUAAAACCAAGCGCGCGUAUGGUAGAUAAUGUGCAAAACCGUCGUUAACAGUAAAGACUGUGGGGGUAUAAUCCGAUUAAUAAGACCUUUAGCACACGCUCAAGAUCUGUUGGUUCAAUAAUAAAGUUACACCGACUUUUCUAUGUGCUAAGUUUUAUUAGUCUAGGUUUAGUUCAAGUCGACAGAUACCAAAUUCGAAGUGAUUGUUCUCCGUGUGAAUAACACAAACGAACAUAGAUCCUUUUGACACAUGUGGGGGAUUGUUGUAUGUGUGUCAAAAGAGUGUGUGUGUCAAAGUCCCACAAUGACUAAAAGAAGGACUUUCCUAGUGUAUAUAUACUAAGGAAUGAAGUGGGUUAGUAAAAUGGGUUUGGAGGAGAAGUGGCCUCGCGCACAUGAGAUAGGCCAACAUAGGGCAAUUGCAGUUGAAAUUAGCCAAUUCGCCCCCCUGCGCGCGAGUUCAAGAGGUAAUGGAUUCCUUUUACCGGGUUAUUUUUACAAAAAUAAUUAAAUAAAUAAUUAUUUUUAGCUUACUCGAAAACCUCUAGUUUUGCUGUUUUGAAUUUGAACUUGAAGCCUUGGCAGUUUUUUAGCAUUAAACCUCUUUUGAAAACUGAUUUUGUGACUUAAUGUUUUGUCUGCCAAAGUCUCUAGAUAAAUCGAUUUUGUGAAGUUAAUAUCUUAUACGUUUUGUCUGCCAACAUUUCCAGACAGAGGCUUAACUGUGAUUUAUGUUUGUGUAACCCCCAGACAAGUGCUUAAAUGUGAUUUAUGAGAGUGUAACCGAAGCUUUAAUCCAGUGAUUAUGAGCCAACCUUCAUGUCUCCUUCCUCAAGCUAUAUGUAGCUAUGGCUAUAGACAGAACAGGGCACCAGCCUUUUGAGUUUUCGGGGCAAUUCUUUCCUCCCUCUGCCUUCUGCUCUUGUGUUCAUCUGUGUUUUCUUUUUAAUUUCUAUUGUUUUGUUCCCUUGCUCUACUGCAGGAAGUGCUUGUUUAAUCCUGAAGAACUGCUAGUCCGUUGUUCCAGUGUGCUUCCAGGCACGACUCAAGUAGUUUGUAGUUCGUUGUUCACAUCUGCCAUCGGUGCCACCAACAAUUCCCACUCUAUCCAAACCGAUUAUAUUGUUCAUCUACAGUUUGACAACUUUCACAAGCAUACCAUCAAAUGCUGUGGAAGAUAAAGACCAGAAUUAGGAAUAGUAGCAUAUGGGAAGAUGAGGUUGGAGAUUUUGGAAGCUUCAAGCAUGUGGUUUUGUGGACAAGAUUUCUUGAGAGGAUGAGAUCAUCACAAACUUAAAAUAGAAGCAUGAGAAAGAAUCAUAACUACUCACGCAAACAUGUCUUUUUUGAAAUUCAAAAUAUUGUCGAGGUG